rnacentral:rRNA from 1 species
ACGCUGGCGGCAGGCCUAACACAUGCAAGUCGAGCGGCAGCACAGGUACUUGUACCGGGUGGCGAGCGGCGGACGGGUGAGUAAUGCCUAGGAAUCUGCCUGGUAGUGGGGGAUAACGCUCGGAAACGGACGCUAAUACCGCAUACGUCCUACGGGAGAAAGCAGGGGACCUUCGGGCCUUGCGCUAUCAGAUGAGCCUAGGUCGGAUUAGCUGGUUGGUGGGGUAAUGGCUCACCAAGGCGACGAUCCGUAACUGGUCUGAGAGGAUGAUCAGUCACACUGGAACUGAGACACGGUCCAGACUCCUACGGGAGGCAGCAGUGGGGAAUAUUGGACAAUGGGCGCAAGCCUGAUCCAGCCAUGCCGCGUGUGUGAAGAAGGUCUUCGGAUUGUAAAGCACUUUAAGUUGGGAGGAAGGGCCGUUACCUAAUACGUGAUGGUUUUGACGUUACCGACAGAAUAAGCACCGGCUAACUCUGUGCCAGCAGCCGCGGUAAUACAGAGGGUGCAAGCGUUAAUCGGAAUUACUGGGCGUAAAGCGCGCGUAGGUGGUUUGUCAAGUUGAAUGUGAAAGCCCCGGGCUCAACCUGGGAACUGCAUGCAAAACUGGCAGGCUAGAGUAUGGUAGAGGGUGGUGGAAUUUCCUGUGUAGCGGUGAAAUGCGUAGAUAUAGGAAGGAACACCAGUGGCGAAGGCGACCACCUGGACUGAUACUGACGCUGAGGUGCGAAAGCGUGGGGAGCAAAC